rnacentral:rRNA from 1 species
UACGAAGGGGGCUAGCGUUGUUCGGAAUUACUGGGCGUAAAGCGCACGUAGGCGGAUGUUUAAGUCGGGGGUGAAAUCCCAGGGCUCAACCCUGGAACUGCCUUCGAUACUGGUUGGCUUGAAUCCGGGAGAGGGAUGUGGAAUUCCAGGUGUAGCGGUGAAAUGCGUAGAUAUCUGGAGGAACACCGGUGGCGAAGGCGACAUCCUGGACCGGUAUUGACGCUGAGGCGCGAAAGCCAGGGGAGCAAACGGG